GGUCAGGUGGUAUAGUGGUUAGCACCCUUGCUAUAUACAUAUGUAUGUGAAAGACCCUGGGUUCAAUAUCCAAUCUGGCCA